UUACAUUUCAAUAUUUCCUCCUGCCUUUGACGUUACCUAGUUACCUUCCAGCAAGUGACUGAUCGCAAAUAAACAACCUACCCUUAAGAGUUCGUCAAGAAACAUCUUAGAAGCGAUGGGUUUUCAGUUAUGAUACAUGACCACUUCGCACCUGAAAAAUGAAAUUCUUAGCAAGGUUGGAAGUGAUUAGGAGCCAGGGGUAGUCUCGUCCAACACCACAAAGUUGGUCAAGAAACAUCCAAAGAGCAGUGUCUGUGCAGGUACCUCUUCAGCUAGGGGAAAGGAGCCAGCGCGGUAGCGGCAUAUCACACACACUCUUGUUUCCGCAGUUAUGAGUUUAUUCUGGGAUUGAUACUCUGAUAUUUUGGUUGUUUACAUGUUGUGGAUUUCAAAUUUGGGUUUUCGAUGUGAAAUGGUUUAAUUAAACAAUGUUUUAAUUAUUAAUGUUUUCUAA